AUGUUGGCUGCCAAGGUGGUGCCAGGCCCCGCUGUGAUGGACAGCUCCUCUGUUUUGUUUACUCUUCUAGGCAGGGUGAUAAAUUCUCCUUCUAAUCAGGUUCCGUGUUUCUCACUCUCCUAUGCACCAACCCUGCUAAUGAAUGAUUCACUGAAGUUAGUGGCUAAGAACAGCAUGCUGCACCCUGCUCUGCCUUUGUUAUGCAAAGUCAUGCCCUCACUAUCUCCCAAACACAAAACCGAGUUCCCGAGGAUGGCGUGGAUAGAUGAUGGAGUGUACAACAGCCCCGGAGGCUAAGCACCAAGAAAACAGGGACUUUGGAUUUUGUCCUCUAUGCUUCCUGCUGAUGCCAAGGCCUGGAAUAGAUGACCUACCUUGAUCUGGGCACCAAAACAGUCCUGCUUGGCUUCCUGUUGGGUUUAAUGCUGCUGUGACCUGGUAUUACAAGGCUCUAUUGGGAAUGCCAGGUAGAUGGAAAGAGGGUGCAGGAGGCAACAUGGGAAGGAGUCUAAAAUUCAAUUCAGCAAGUUCAGUGCCUACAGUGAACUAGAUUUUUGUGUAGAAUGGCCUUGGGAUUCAAGGGUCCAAUCUCCAGGAGCAGGGAAGGGAGGCACAGCAGUGGUGUGGGUUGGGGCAGCUUGAUGACAUGGCCCUUGGGAAUGUUAUUUAAUCUUUCUGAGCCUGGGUAUCUUCCUUUGUAAAAUGGGGGUAAUAUUUACCACCUUUGAUUCAUGAUGAUUAAAUGAGAUAAUGUACAUUAAGCAAUUGUCGAUAUUUAUAUAACUUACUACAUGCCAGGUUAUAUUUUAAGGACUUUAUGUGUACUGACUUAACAACAACCCUCUGGGUUAGGAACUAUUACUAUCCCCAGCUUACUCAGGUAGAAAAACCGAGAUAUAGGGAGGUGCCCACAUUCUCUUAGCUAGAAUGUGGUAGAGCUAGAAUUUAAACCAAGGCUGGUUCCAGAGUCCAUGAGAGCCUGGGAUAGAUAUGGUAACAAUACUCGUUGUUUUGAAUUUCAGUCUGUAAAUCCUCAGCUUCUUCCCACUUGUCUAGAUUCCUGAGCUGGAAAGUAAGACAAGAUUCAAGUAGGUUGCAAGACUGCAAAGCUGGAUUACGUGUCCGGGACAAGGCAGGUAGCCUUUUCCUACACCUGGGAACAGAGGUUAAAGUCAAGUACUGAAGAGUUAGGUCCAGCUUCUAAGGGCUCUGGGACAAGACUUCAGUCCAGUGGGAAAUGUGCAUUGGAAUCAGCAGCAUUGGAUGAACCAGGAGCCAAAUGUGGAGAGUGUGUGAGUUUGGGGCUCACCAACCUUACAGCUUCCCUCUCUGAAGAUGAUACACACAGCCUGGACAAGUCACAACUUCCAAGUCACUAUUCCUGGUGGUCAGGUGAGGCUGACCCUACCCCGUUUUCCACAGCUGGAGGUCAGCUCUCCUGCCUUCACUAAGCCUGUCUGCUCUGUUGAUUCAGCACAAUGGCCGAUGCCACCUUUCUGGGCCAGCGGACUCCCACGGCACCCAUGAUGUUGAGAGAGAAGGGGUUUGUAGGGCAAACAAGGAUCUAGUCUACAGAGGACAGCAUGUUUCAUGCAAAGAAAAGGAAAACAUCAAAAUGUUUUGUUUUUGUUCAAUAAAUAUUUGUGUAGUACUCUGAUUCUGUGCCA
rnacentral:lncRNA from 1 species